UGCCUGCGUCUUCCACAGACUUGUCCCAAGAACCCUCCUGGAAGGGAGCAAGCCUGGCAAAUCCGAGCGUCAGAGAGCCUGGAGCGCGGCGACAGCUGGGUGGUAUUCGGUCCCAUCCGAAUAAGCGAGUCUAAUGCCUCCAGCAGCAGAAGCUCAGCAGGAACCUGGAUAGCCGUGUUUCUCCUGAUGUUGAUAGGCUGGAUACUGGGCUAAGAUCUUGCCCUCAACUCUAGUCCUUGGCCUCUAGUUUACUUGCCUGAAGCAAGAGUGGAGUGGAAGAAUAUUUAGGGAGAGGCAAGUAAUCUGUCCUCUUGGCAGGGACCAGAGAGGUUGGGGGUGAAAAGGGGACUGUGUGGCCCAACUAUUGUUGGUAUGGAGUGUGACUGCUGAAUAUUUGGCUGUGUUUCCUCAUCCCACCUUCUUUUCUCAUCUCUGAAACUCUUCAGAGGAAUGUUGGGUUGCUCAAUAUGGUGGGAGAUGCAGAGGGUAUG